CAAGAAAUGUAGGUAUUAGCUAAAAAUAUUAUGGUCUUCUUUUUUCCUGUAGACAACUUUUAAUUUAACCAAAAAUACGCAGGAAAACCGGAGAAAUUGUUACAACAUUAUAUAGAGUUUAUUUAAUUAUUUUACCUUAAUAUGGCAUAUAUAUUGUUGACAAAGCAGAAUCGUUUUAUCGUAAGCAAUAGUUUUUCGUUGCUUAUAAGUAUAUAUUAGAUUACC